rnacentral:rRNA from 1 species
UACAGAGGGGGCAAGCGUUGUUCGGAAUUACUGGGCGUAAAGGGCGCGUAGGCGGCCUGUUAAGUCGAACGUGAAAUCCCCGGGCUCAACCCGGGAACUGCGUCCGAUACUGGCAGGCUUGAAUCCGGGAGAGGGAUGCGGAAUUCCAGGUGUAGCGGUGAAAUGCGUAGAUAUCAGGAGGAACACCGGUGGCGAAGGCGGGUCUCUGGGCCGAUAUUGACGCUGAGGAGCGAAAGCGUGGGGAGCGAACAGG